GAUGAAGAACGUAGCGAAAUGCGAUACUUGGUGUGAAUUGCAGAAUCCCGUGAACCAUCGAGUCUUUGAACGCAAGUUGCGCCCGAAGCCACUAGGCCGAGGGCACGCCUGCCUGGGCGUCACACGCCGUUGCCCCCCCAUCUACUCCUUCGGGAUUGCGGGGGGGCGGAUGAUGGCCUCCCGUGCGCCUAGCAGCGCGGUUGGCAUAAAUACCAAGUCCUCGGCGACGCACGCCACGACAAUCGGUGGUUGCGAAACCUCGGUUGCCCGUCGUGUGCGUUCGUCGCGCAUCGAGGGCUCGAAAAAAUGCUCGGCUCCGGCUGGGCUUUCAACGCGACCCCAGGUCAGGCGGGGUUACCCGCUGAAUUUAAGCAUAUCAAUAAGCGGAGGA
rnacentral:misc_RNA from 1 species